rnacentral:misc_RNA from 1 species
UCUCGGCUUAUCACCGGCAGUCUACCUAGAGUGCCCAACCUAAUGGUGGCAACUAAGUACGAGGGUUGCGCUCGUUGCGGGACUUAACCCAACACCUCACGACACGAGCUGACGACAGCCAUGCACCACCUGUGAUGCGGCUCCGAAGAGGGACCGUGUUUCCACGGUUUUCCGCAACAUGUCAAGCCUAGGUAAGGUUCUUCGCGUCGCAUCGAAUUAAACAACAUGCUCCGCCGCUUGUGCGGGCCCCCGUCAAUUCCUUUGAGUUUUAGCCUUGCGGCCGUACUCCCCAGGCGGGGCACUUAAUGCGUUAGCUUCGGCACGGAGAACGUGGAAUGUUCCCCACACCUAGUGCCCACCGUUUACGGCGUGGACUAC